CAACUCGACACUAUGAUCAUCGUCCUUACUUUACCACGGCCCUCAGAAAUUCUACUCGUGUUCAGUCAGCACAGUAAGCAAGAUGGCGACCUACGCAGUUCCCGAGCCAUACAGAUGGGAUACCAGCUUCAUGGUGUUCUACGAACGUCUGGACGAUGAGCACAAGGGUCUCUUCCAGAGCCUAUUUGCUAUUGGUACCAACCACGGCUCAAAGGCCGCGCUGAAGAAGUGUCAGGAUUUGAUGGCUUCUCACUUCCACUACGAGCAGGGCCAGUCAUGACAGGGCAAACUACGCCGGCUUCAAGGAGCACAAGAGUUUCCACGACGGAUUCCUUGCCCAUCUGCCAAGCUGUCCACCCCGGUGUCCGACGAGGAAGUAUUCUACUGGCAAGAACUGGCUGGUGCAGCACAUCAAGAACGUUGACUUCGCGUACAGAGGCAAGCUGUAAGAUGUGACCCCCAAUGUUUUACGACUCGGCCUAAUGUUAGUGCAGCCAGCCGCCAUCUUUGACUGCGCAUUAGAGCUUUGAGGACUCAUGGUAAUCGGAUCUACUAUAUACGGGCUUCACUGACAUAGCUUCACCACUGCCAGCAACAAAGAAACGUGGUGCUAUCUUUCACCACCAAUACGUCAUUUACCGGCAAAAUUUUGGUCACUACACUUUCGUGGCCUCAUUUUUAUGAAUCACCGUGAUGUUUUGUUAUGAUACUCAACGACAUGAACAACACAAAGCCAGAUUUAUGUUUGUUUCAGUAAUCUUAUGUCGUGAUGGCUCGUAUAUAAAUACACACUCUUUUUCCCACGACUCUUUAUGAAAUUCCUGACUAUAUAUAAUCCUUUCGAUAAUUAAUGAGCAUGGGUUCAUCCCACAUUGGCGAUUCCGUGUAUUAUUACAAAUCCAUUAAAAUUAUUUUGUAUAUGAACUAAAA